AGGGCGGCUCUCUGGUCUGUAACUGACGCUGAGGCUCGAAAGCGUGGGGAGCAAACAGGAUUAGAAACCCUGGUAGUCCACGCCGUAAACGAUGAGUGCUAAGUGUUGGAGGGUUUCCGCCCUUCAGUGCUGCAGCUAACGCAUUAAGCACUCCGCCUGGGGAGUACGACCGCAAGGUUGAAACUCAAAGGAAUUGACGGGGGCCCGCACAAGCGGUGGAGCAUGUGGUUUAAUUCGAAGCAACGCGAAGAACCUUACCAGGUCUUGACAUCCUUUGACCACUCUAGAGAUAGAGCUUCCCCUUCGGGGGCAAAGUGACAGGUGGUGCAUGGUUGUCGUCAGCUCGUGUCGUGAGAUGUUGGGUUAAGUCCCGCAACGAGCGCAACCCUUAUUGUUAGUUGCCAUCAUUUAGUUGGGCACUCUAGCAAGACUGCCGGUGACAAACCGGAGGAAGGUGGGGAUGACGUCAAAUCAUCAUGCCCCUUAUGACCUGGGCUACACACGUGCUACAAUGGGAAGUACAACGAGUCGCAAAGUCGCGAGGCUAAGCUAAUCUCUUAAAGCUUCUCUCAGUUCGGAUUGUAGGCUGCAACUCGCCUACAUGAAGCCGGAAUCGCUAGUAAUCGCGGAUCAGCACGCCGCGGUGAAUACGUUCCCGGGCCUUGUACACACCGCCCGUCACACCACGAGAGUUUGUAACACCCGAAGUCGGUGAGGUAACCUUUUGGAGCCAGCCGCCUAAGGUGGGAUAGAUGAUUGGGGUGAAGUCGU
rnacentral:rRNA from 1 species